CAUGAACAUACUUGUACUUGACUUGAACAGACUUAACCAGGCAUGAACAGACUAAACUCACUGACAGCAGAUUACAACAUCAAUACACGACAAAGAACAAUGGGAACAUGAGGGCUAUUUGUACC